rnacentral:rRNA from 1 species
GGAAUAUUGCACAAUGGGCGAAAGCCUGAUGCAGCAACGCCGCGUGAGUGAUGAAGGUCUUCGGAUUGUAAAGCUCUGUCUUUUGGGACGAUAAUGACGGUACCAAAGGAGGAAGCCACGGCUAACUACGUGCCAGCAGCCGCGGUAAUACGUAGGUGGCGAGCGUUGUCCGGAUUUACUGGGCGUAAAGGGUGCGUAGGCGGAUGUUUAAGUGAGAUGUGAAAUACCCGGGCUUAACUCGGGUGCUGCAUUUCAAACUGGAUAUCUAGAGUGCAGGAGAGGAGAAUGGAAUUCCUAGUGUAGCGGUGAAAUGCGUAGAGAUUAGGAAGAACACCAGUGGCGAAGGCGAUUCUCUGGACUGUAACUGACGCUGAGGCACGAAAGCGUGGGUAGCAAACAGGAUUAGAUACCCUGGUAGUCCACGCCGUAAACGAUGAGUACUAGGUGUAGGAGGUAUCGACCCCUUCUGUGCCGCAGUAAACACAUUAAGUACUCCGCCUGGGAAGUACGAUCGCAAGAUUAAAAC